UCAACUCGGGCUUGCAGUGGGUACGGGCAGACUAGAGUGCGGUAGGGGAGAUUGGAAUUCCUGGUGUAGCGGUGGAAUGCGCAGAUAUCAGGAGGAACACCGAUGGCGAAGGCAGAUCUCUGGGCCGUAACUGACGCUGAGGAGCGAAAGGGUGGGGAGCAAACAGGCUUAGAUACCCUGGUAGUCCACCCCGUAAACGUUGGGAACUAGUUGUGGGGUCCUUUCCACGGAUUCCGUGACGCAGCUAACGCAUUAAGUUCCCCGCCUGGGGAGUACGGCCGCAAGGCUAAAACUCAAAGGAAUUGACGGGGACCCGCACAAGCGGCGGAGCAUGCGGAUUAAUUCGAUGCAACGCGAAGAACCUUACCAAGGCUUGACAUACACGAGAACGGGCCAGAAAUGGUCAACUCUUUGGACACUCGUGAACAGGUGGUGCAUGGUUGUCGUCAGCUCGUGUCGUGAGAUGUUGGGUUAAGUCCCGCAACGAGCGCAACCCUCGUUCUAUGUUGCCAGCACGUAAUGGUGGGAACUCAUGGGAUACUGCCGGGGUCAACUCGGAGGAAGGUGGGGAUGACGUCAAAUCAUCAUGCCCCUUAUGUCUUGGGCUUCACGCAUGCUACAAUGGCCGGUACAAUGGGCUGCAAUACCGUGAGGUGGAGCGAAUCCCAAAAAGCCGGUCCCAGUUCGGAUUGAGGUCUGCAACUCGACCUCAUGAAGUCGGAGUCGCUAGUAAUCGCAGAUCAGCAACGCUGCGGUGAAUACGUUCCCGGGUCUUGUACACACCGCCCGUCAAGUCAUGAAAGUCGGUAACACCUGAAGCCGGUGGCCUAACCCCUUG
rnacentral:rRNA from 1 species